GGGAGGACCACCUCCCAAGGCUAAAUACUACCUGAUGACCGAUAGUGAAGCAGUACCGUGAGGGAAAGGUGAAAAGAACCCCGGGAGGGGAGUGAAAUAGAACCUGAAACCGUGUGCCUACAACCGCUCAGAGCCCCUUAUGAGGGUGAUGAGGUGCUUUUUGUAGAACGAGCCAACGAGUUACGGUAUGUAGCAAGGUUAAGUACUUAAGGUACGGAGCCGAAGGGAAACCGAGUCUGAAUAGGGCGACUAGUUGCAUGCCGUAGACCCGAAACCGGGUGACCUAUCCAUGGCCAGGUUGAAGCGAGGGUAAAACCUCGUGGAGGACCGAACCACGUUGCUGUUGAAAAAGCAUGGGAUGAGCUGUGGAUAGCGGAGAAAUUCCAAUCGAACCCGGAGAUAGCUGGUUCUCUCCGAAAUAGCUUUAGGGCUAGCGUCGAGUAUGAGUAGUGGAGGUAGAGCACUGAAUGGGCUAGGGGGCAUAGCGCUUACCGAACCUUAUCAAACUCCGAAUGCCACAUACUUUGAGCUCGGCAGUCAGACUACGAAUGAUAAGAUCCGUGGUCAAAAGGGAAACAGCCCAGAUCGUCAGCUAAGGUCCCAAAGUGUAAGUUAAGUGGGAAAGGAUGUGAGAUUUCUAAGACAACUAGGAUGUUGGCUUAGAAGCAGCCAUUCAUUAAAAGAGUGCGUAAUAGCUCACUAGUCGAGAGAUCUUGCGCCGAAAAUGUAACGGGGCUAAACUUACCACCGAAGCUACGGGCUUGAACUUAGUUCAAGCGGUAGGAGAGCGUCGUAACCGGGCUGAAGUCGUACCGUAAGGAGCGGUGGACUGGUUACGAGUGAGAAUGUUGGCAUCAGUAGCGAGAUGUGGGUGAGAAUCCCACAGGCCGAAAACCUAAGGUUUCCUCAGGAAGGUUCGUCCGCUGAGGGUUAGUCGGGACCUAAGCCGAGGCCGAAAGGCGUAGGUGAUGGACAACUGGUUGAUAUUCCAGUACCACUACCAUCGUUAUUAUCGAUGGCGUGACGCAGGAGGAUAGUGUGUGCUAGCUAUUGGAUGCUAGUCUAAGCGUUUAGGCAGUGAGAGUAGGCAAAUCCGCUCUCAUAAUGCUGAGGCGUGAUGGGGAAGGUUCCACGGAACCGAAGUACAUGAUUCCACGCUGCCAAGAAAAGCGUCUAGAGAGAGAAGUAGUGCCCGUACCGCAAACCGACACAGGUAGGUGAGGAGAGAAUCCUAAGGCCGGCGGAAGAAUUACAGUUAAGGAACUCGGCAAAUUGACCCCGUAAGUUCGCGAGAAGGGGUGCCUACGAGAGUAGGCCGCAGAGAAUAGGCCCAAGCAACUGUUUAGCAAAAACACAGGUCUCUGCUAAAGCGUAAGCUGAUGUAUAGGGGCUGACGCCUGCCCGGUGCUGGAAGGUUAAGGGGAACACUUAGCGCAAGCGAAGGUGUGAACUUAAGCCCCAGUAAACGGCGGCCGUAACUAUAACGGUCCUAAGGUAGCGAAAUUCCUUGUCAGGUAAGUUCUGACCCGCACGAAUGGCGUAAUGACUUGGGCACUGUCUCAACUGUAAAUCCGGCGAAGUUGUAGUGCGAGUGAAGAUGCUCGCUACCCGCGAUUGGACGGAAAGACCCCGUAGAGCUUUACUGUAGCUUAGCAUUGAGUUUUGGUAUUGUCUGUACAGGAUAGGUGGGAGACUAGGAAACCAGGGCGUCAGCCUUGGUGGAGUCAACCUUGGGAUACCACCCUGACAGUACUGAAAUUCUAACUGGCGGCCAUGAAUCUGGUCACAGGACAUUGUUAGGUGGGCAGUUUGACUGGGGCGGUCGCCUCCUAAAAAGUAACGGAGGCGCCCAAAGGUUCCCUCAGAACGGUCGGAAAUACGGAUAAAAGCUACCCCGGGGAUAACAGGCUUAUCUCCCCCAAGAGUCCACAUCGACGGGGAGGUUUGGCACCUCGAUGUCGGCUCGUCUCAUCCUGGGGCUGGAGUAGGUCCCAAGGGUUGGGCUGUUCGCCCAUUAAAGAGGCACGCGAGCUGGGUUCAGAACGUCGUGAGACAGUUCGGUCCCUAUCCAGCGUGGGCGUAAGAAAUUUGAGAGGAGCUGUCCUUAGUACGAGAGGACCGGGAUGGACGCACCAAUGGUGUACGAGUUGUUAGGCCACUAGCAUGGCUCGGUAGCUAAGUGCGGAAUUGAUAAGUACUGAAAGCAUCUAAGUACGAAGCAACCCUCAAGAUAAGAUUUCUUAGAGUAGGUAAAGAAAAUACCUUUGAUAGGUCCAAGGUGUAAGUGCAGUAAUGUAUUAAGCUAAUGGAUACUAAACUUUAAAUCUUGACUGG
rnacentral:rRNA from 1 species